GUGGCGUACGGGUGAGUAACACGUGGGUGACCUGCCCUUAAGUGGGGGAUAACUCUGGGAAACUGGGGCUAAUCCCGCAUGUGCUGCGGUUUUCGUUGAUCGUAGUAAAGGAGCUUUUGUUCCGCUUGGGGAUGGGCCCGCGGCCUAUCAGCUUGUUGGUGUGGUAAUGGCGCACCAAGGCUUUGACAGGUAGCCGGCCUGAGAGGGUGUUCGGUCACAGGGGCACUGAGAUACGGGCCCCACUCCUACGGGAGGCAGCAGUUAGGAAUUUUCGACAAUGGGGGGAACCCUGAUCGAGCGACACUGCGUGAGGGAUGAAGGCCUUAGGGUUGUAAACUUCUAAUAGAGGGACGAUGGUGACGGUACCUCUUGAUUAGCACCGGCUAACUCCGUGCCAGCAGCCGCGGUAAUACGGAGGGUGCGAGCGUUAUCCGGAAUCACUGGGCGUAAAGGGCACGUAGGCGGUUUGUUAAGUCUGAUGUUAAAGACUGGG
rnacentral:rRNA from 1 species